UACGUAGGGUGCAAGCGUUGUCCGGAAUUAUUGGGCGUAAAGGGCUCGUAGGCGGUCUGUCACGUCGGGAGUGAAAACUCAGGGCUUAACCCUGAGCCUGCUUCCGAUACGGGCAGACUAGAGGUAUGCAGGGGAGAACGGAAUUCCUGGUGUAGCGGUGAAAUGCGCAGAUAUCAGGAGGAACACCAAUGGCGAAGGCAGCUCGCUGGGACGGUACUGACGCUGAGGCGCGAAAGCGUGGGGAGCAAACAGG
rnacentral:rRNA from 1 species